AACACACACACUAAUUUGUGCUGCACACACACUAAAACACAUUAGAAACACACACACACUUCACGUUAACACCAUUUCUUUGGUGUUCAAGCUUUUGACUUCCGAUUUGAGCACCGAGACGAGCGCCGAUCAUCUUUUCGAUCACGUAUCUAAGUAGGUCCUUUUGGGAAGUAACGACUUGAGGGAGAGAGUGACGUUACUCAUUGAUACAGAGACACAACGAGGUUGAGCUGAUGUGAUGAUGGUGCUGCAAUGAGCGGAGUCUCCAGGGUUGUUAAUAAAUAGUUAACCUGUCUAGAAUAUGUCUUCAUACAUAUGUCUAGCUACUUUCCGCUGCAAGAUGUUGUUGAUGUUAUAGUAUGUUAUGUCAUACUUUGAGUCUUAAGAGAAUGGUUUCAUAUGAUGUAUAACUUGAUUAAUGAUAUUAAUUAAGUUUUAUGUUGUCUUUCAUAGACUGUUCAAAAGAGUAUUAAUGAGUAAAUACGAUGAUUUUUCUUAAGUUAAGUAAGAUUUACGGUUUCAAAUGAUGCCCCUUUCUUUCCCUUAUUCUUUAACCCCAUCCCUAGUCGUAGAUCACUCGGCUUAACUAUCCUUAGUUAAGGCGGGCUGUGACAGAGUGGUAUCAGAGCGAAGG